UGGGGAAUAUUGCACAAUGGGCGAAAGCCUGAUGCAGCAACGCCGCGUGAGCGAUGAAGGCCUUCGGGUCGUAAAGCUCUGUCCUCAAGGAAGAUAAUGACGGUACUUGAGGAGGAAGCCCCGGCUAACUACGUGCCAGCAGCCGCGGUAAUACGUAGGGGGCUAGCGUUAUCCGGAAUUACUGGGCGUAAAGGGUGCGUAGGCGGUCUUUCAAGUCAGAAGUGAAAGGCUACGGCUCAACCGUAGUAAGCUUUUGAAACUGUAAGACUUGAGUGCAGGAGAGGAGAGUGGAAUUCCUAGUGUAGCGGUGAAAUGCGUAGAUAUUAGGAGGAACACCAGUUGCGAAGGCGGCUCUCUGGACUGUAACUGACGCUGAGGCACGAAAGCGUGGGGAGCAAACAG
rnacentral:rRNA from 1 species